GCCCCGGUAGUCGAACUGGUAAGACGCCCGCACGGUAUACGGGAGAUCCAGGUUCGAAUCCUGGUCAUGGGG
rfam:Cerapachys biroi unplaced genomic scaffold scaffold667, whole genome shotgun sequence.